AAAAGUUUAGUUAAUUUAUAACAUUAACUUGUCAAGUUAAAAUAAUCGAAAAGAUAACUUUUA
rnacentral:tRNA from 2 species